GAUAAACGCUGGCGGCGCACAUAAGACAUGCAAGUCGAACGGACUUAACUCGAAGUUUACUUUGAGAGCGGUUAGUGGCGGACUGGUGAAUAACGCGUGAGCAACCUGCCUACUAGAGGGGAAUAACAGUGAGAAAUCACUGCUAAUACCGCAUAAUGCUUUUGAGCGGCAUCGCUUGAAAGCCAAAGAUUUAUCGCUGAAAGAUGGUCUCGCGUCUGAUUAGCUAGUUGGUGAGGUAACGGCUCACCAAGGCGACGAUCAGUAGCCGGUCUGAGAGGAUGAACGGCCACAUUGGGACUGAGAUACGGCCCAG
rnacentral:rRNA from 1 species